AGUGAACGCUGGCGGUAGGCCUAACACAUGCAAGUCGAACGGCAGCACAGUAAGAGCUUGCUCUUACGGGUGGCGAGUGGCGGACGGGUGAGGAAUACAUCGGAAUCUACUUUUUCGUGGGGGAUAACGUAGGGAAACUUACGCUAAUACCGCAUACGACCUACGGGUGAGAGCAGGGGAUCUUCGGACCUUGCGCGAUUGAAUGAGCCGAUGUCGGAUUAGCUAGUUGGCGGGGUAAAGGCCCACCAAGACGACGAUCCGUAGCUGGUCUGAGAGGAUGAUCAGCCACACUGGAACUGAGACACGGUCCAGACUCCUACGGGAGGCAGCAGUGGGGAAUAUUGGACAAUGGGCGCAAGCCUGAUCCAGCCAUACCGCGUGGGUGAAGAAGGCCUUCGGGUUGUAAAGCCCUUUUGUUGGGAAAGAAAAGCAGCAGGUUAAUACCCCGCUGUUCUGACGGUACCCAAAGAAUAAGCACCGGCUAACUUCGUG
rnacentral:rRNA from 1 species